CUACGGGGGGCUCCAGUGAGGGAUUUUGCGCAAUGGGGGGAACCCUGACGCAGCAACGCCGCGUGAGUGAAGAAGGCCCUUGGGUCGUAAAGCUCUGUCAACAGGGAAGAAGUUAUGGAUUUUUAAUAGAGAUUUGUAUUGACGGUACCUGUGAAGGAAGCACCGGCUAACUCCGUGCCAGCAGCCGCGGUAAUACGGGGGGUGCAAGCGUUAUUCGGAAUUAUUGGGCGUAAAGGGCGCGCAGGCGGCCUUGUCAGUCAGAUGUGAAAGGCCAGGGCUCAACCCUGGAAGUGCAUUUGAAACAGCAAGGCUUGAGUACGGUAGAGGAAAGGGGAAUUCCUGGUGUAGAGGUGAAAUUCGUAGAUAUCAGGAGGAACACCGGUGGCGAAGGCGCCUUUCUGGACCUGUACUGACGCUGAGGCGCGAAGGCGUGGGUAGCGAACAGGAUUAGAUACCCGCGUAGUC
rnacentral:rRNA from 1 species